GUGGGUGUAGCUCAGUUGGUAGAGCUCCGGGUUGUGGCCUCGGCGGUCGUGGGUUCAAAUCCCAUCACUCACCCCA
rnacentral:tRNA from 1 species